CUGUGAAUUUGGACACGUUUUCCCUCAACUCAAACAGGUACUCUGACAGUUUGGAGGUAAAUGCUGAGUUGGAGGAAUUUGGCACAGGGGUGACUCUUAAAGGCACAGGUACCGUCAGUAUCACCAGUCAGAUAAGAACUAUCACCUUUGAAGAUGUAUCUUCAUCAUACAAGCCUGGCAUUCCAUAUGAAGGAAAGAUCAAAGUGGUUGGUCCAGACAACAAACCUAUUUCCAAUCAGGUGGUCUACUUGUUUGUUGAAGACUCU